rnacentral:lncRNA from 1 species
ACAAUAGAUCACACAAACAAUAUAAACAUAAAAACAAUAGUAAUUAAUUUAUAAAAUGGAUCUUGUAACGCAAACAGUUGAAGAUUCUAUAAAGAUCCUGGCUAUUCAAAAGGAGGAUAGGGUCUAUCUAUAGAGACAUUCUCAACUUUGAUCCCAAGUCCAAUUUAAAAUAACGAUCAUAAGGUUUUAGACCAAAAUGCUAGUGGUUGCCAGCGCCCAUUGCCUUUUUGUUCUAGAACGGCUCCCAUUCCAUUUUCAAACGCAUCUGUUGUAAGGGCUCAAUCUAACAAAGUCCCUGAAUCAAAGUUGAGUACUUGAGGAUAAACUGUGUUUUAUACCUUUAAAAGCUCUUUCACAUUAAUCAUUCCAUAUGAAUUUAAAUUUUUUCUUUCAAACUAGAUAUAACAUCACAGUCCAUUUUGACAAAUUUUUGAUGAAUUGUGAAUAGAAUUGAGCCAUGCCUAAAAAUAUCUGUAAACCGUCAUUUGAUUUUGGAAAUGACAUUCUUGCAAUAGUUUCAACUUUCCAUUUAAUGGGUUUGAAACUCUCCGGUGAAAUAGAAUUUCCAAGGAACUCAACAGAGUCCCUAAAAACUCGUUUUUUUCAAGAGAAACUCCCAACCUGGAAGUUUUAAGCUGCAACAAAACUACAUUUAUGGACUACCAAUGUUCCUCCCUUGUCUGAGAAGCAAUCAAUGUAUCAUCAAGAUACACAAAGAGAUUUUUAAUUCCAUGUAAAACAGAAUCGAUGAGUCGGUGGAAUGUCUGGGCAGCGUUUUUAAGCCGAAACAGCAUUCUCAAGUACUCAUACAACCCAAAUAACGAAAUGAUAGCUAUUUUACUGAUGGAGUCUUCACUCAUGGGUAUUUGAUUGUAAGCUCUGUGCAAGUUCAUUUACUAAGAAAAUUCAUCCCUCUUAGAUGUUGAGGACUUUCAAAAGCUCUACUAGGUCUCUUCUUAAUAAAAGGUGCGACAGUGGGAGAAGAAGAUAGAUUCUUGACAGUACAAAUGGAACUGUUUAUGACUUGCUUCGCAACCGUGCACAUAUCUGCUAAAUUCUUAGUCGUAUUCCUCAUAUAUAUGACGUUCAACCUCAUCCUUUACUUCCAUGCUCGAGAGCCCGGAAUGAUCAACCCUAAUGUCGACUAUUCUUUUGAUCCUUGUGGAAGAUGAUAUCCCAUAUCAGACUAAUAUAGAUUUCUUCUCUCCCUCAUAAGUGAGAUUCUCCUCACUAAUACGAAUAAUAUGGAAAACCUCACCCAGCAAUGUUUACGCCAUAAGACUGUAUUUAACUUUGGUAGGAUAAAUCCCCCUCAACGCAAAAUCAAGUUCAAUUCUUCGGAACCAUUUCUCAACAUCUGAAGAACAGAACCUAGGAAGGCGGAGUUCCGCAACGACAAUUGCUAAAUUCGCCUCCUCCGUUUUAAUCAACAAUGCUUGUUUUUGGCAAGACAAAGAUGGGGAAGUUUGCUUUUGAGGCAUUUUUCGAAUCACGUCGGGGUCACCAAUGUAAAGUCUUUAAUGUUCAAAUAUCUACUGAUUAUAUUCUAGAUACAUAAUAAUAAUAACAAGAAGAAAAAGAGGAAGUGAUCAACUUCAUCAAAUCAAACUUCAACAGGUAUAUUUUGUGAGAAAAUAAAUAAACUCCUUCCUAGGAGACAUUUUAAGCCAAUUAGACCUCUUCUAUUCAAUAGUAUUUAACCUGAUGCAUUAGGUAAUUUCGAAAAGGAUCCAAUAGCUUUUAAAAAAAUAGUUUUUUGUCAGCUCUGCUACUUUUCGUUGCUGGCCUUAAAGAACCUAAGAAUUACAUAAUAAAGAAGUUUUGGAGGUUUCAAGUUCAUUUUGGAACGUCAAAACAUGUUAUUGAUAUGUAUGCUGACCAUAUCAAUCUAAUUUUUGAAGCAAAUUUGGAAAACUAAUUAACAAGGAGGAUUGAAGUAAUAAUGAACUACUUCAAGAAAUAUGAAAAAAGGUCAGGUUUGAAGAUUAACAAUACGAAGGUAGUAAAUCCACCUGGAUAUAUUGGAUCCCUGCAAAAGACUUGAAAAAGCUUAUUUAUGUAUCAAGAGAGAGUCAAUAAUUUAGAAUAAUAGUUAAUAAUUUUAUAAAUGUAAUUCCAAAUGAUUAUUAAGUGGGCGAAUUUCAUUACAGAUACUUUGAGAAUCACUAAUCUGAGAUAUAAUAAAAGAGGGACGAAGCAGAAAUAUUAAAAUCACACAACCUCGGUUUUGUUUUUGCCAUGAUUAGGAGACAAGCCAAGGAAUAAGGUGAAGUAACUUGAUAUGUAUGGAGAUUAUGUUCAUAGAACAAGUAUAGGACCUUAAUUAAACAACAUCACUAAUGUACGAAAUAGUAUAUUAACAUUAUGUCAACCAAUAAUAAUACAUUCAAGACUCCAGUUCAAAAAAUAAAUAUGCAUAUGAUAAAAUUAAAAUGCUCUCACAGAAAAAAAAUCACUGCAAUAAAAAUAAUAUUUCACCUUGAAUACAGAAAUGGCAUGCAUAUUUACUUGUUAUAAUAUUAUCGAUAGAAUUGUAAUAUUAAAUAUGUAAUAAUUUUUGGAUUUAUACACAUACAAUGAAUUUAA